AGGUGGUGAAAAGUGACAGCUGCUCUGUGCAGUUACGAUGCUGCACUGCCACAGUAACCUUCUCCCUCUGUGGUGAUCCAAUAUUCUACCAUAUGUCAGCAAAACUAUUCCAGCCCGGCCCUUUCAACUCUCCCGAAUCUAAGCCAACAGUCAAGGUACUAUGAAGACGUCAGGCGUAUGGAAAUAACAGAUGGGAAAGGCGAGCAGAGAUCAUUACUCUGAACUGUCUUGGAUGUCCCUGGGCAAUGCUAAGCUAACAUUCAGCAGUGUCUACAAGAUGACACACAACAUGUUGAAAGAUGAAGUCUCACUCUGUCACCCAGUCAGUGGAACGAUCUCGGUUCGCUGCAACCUCCGCCUCCUGGGUUCAAGCGAUUCUCAUGCCUCAGUCUCCCAAGUAGCUGGGAUUACAGAAUGGAGCGGUGAUUCCCUUGGAAGGAUGUGAAAAGCUUUCCAAUCUCGAGGUGAUAUCAGAGCUCUUUCCCAUUGAAACACUUGGAUGCUCUUUCUCCAGCUAUCAUGCUCUCUUUUUUCCACUCAAGCAAUGGAGGGUUCAUAACGGCACCUGCCUGGUUGGAGAGAGGUUUAAGCAGAUGACAAGGAGGAAGUGCCUGGUGCAGGAUAAGGCCUCAGGAAUGGCCCAGGUUGUCCCUGCUUGGAGCUUCAGAUGUGGUUUGAACCCAGGUCUGCAUGAUUCUCAAGUCAUACUUCAACAAACACAAUAAAACUCAUAUCAAAUG
ensembl:lncRNA novel transcript